GUCUUCUGCCCCUGUCGGGGAUCGAACACUGGUCGUCCAUUCCGUGGAAAAUGGGGAGACGAAUCUUUAGUCAGUGUGUUUUAUCGGAGACGUAAGACCGUGAGUUCUCAAUUCACGCUACUUUCGAGAAACACGUCGUAAACGAGGAGAUUAUCUUCCAUGAGAUGGUUUAACUCCAAGCUGAUAAAGACCUACAGUAAAAUGUUUAUAAAGCUACACAGUGCAUCUUCCACGGCAAUUUGGUAUUCUCCAGCGAUCAUCUGUAUCACUAGGUUCCAUCGAAUGCGUUUACAAAGUUUCAGAAACUCGUCAAGGAUUGACGGAAUCA